rnacentral:lncRNA from 1 species
GCUAGUUCACAAAGCGUAAUUUGUUAUUUAAGUAAGGCAUAAGUAAUACACUUGAAAUGAAAAACCAAAGGAAGAGAAAAAACAUAAUUCAUAAGCAGAAUACAAAGAAGAAGAAGACGACAAAUAGAUCCGAUGCAUACAGUAAACACUCCAAUUGCACAAACAGAAUUAAAUAUCAUAUAAAAAUAACUAAAUUAAUACAACGAAUAACUUGAUGAUACCAGUAAUAUUCUUCACUGUUCUUUCGCGGUGCUCGAUCUUUUGCCAAAGAUUUAGUGUCCCGCGAUUGGAAAACUUUUCGGCAAACUCAACUCGACUCCAACUCAAUUGCACGCUGCUUUGAGGAAGAACUACCACAGAUGCAAUGGUUUUUGUUGCUCAUUUUUCAGAUGGUUCGGGCAUGGUUGAAGAUGGAGUGCGACGGCUGCGUUUUCUGCCGAGUUUUGUGUAGUUACCUCGACAUGGUUUAGAUCUGAUCUUCUUAUGAGGCAAAAAUGAGUGAAGUAUCUCUUGUUAAUGCUGCUGCACAGCUUCUUCUUAGCUCCCCCUCUAUUAGGCAUUUUUUUGUGUGUUUAUAUAAGUAGAAUUUAGGUUUAGGGUAUAUUUUAUGUAUUUUGCAAAUUAG